CAUAAACUCAAACCCACUUGUGCUGGAGCCUGCCAGCAGGGCACCGUGGUCUGAAGGAGGGGGUAUCAUGCAGGAGCAGUGAGGACCAAAAGAGUCUGGUUUGCAGCAGCAUGUCUCUUCAAUCCAGUGGACAAGUUGAGGAGGAAAUAAACCAGAAAAAGAGGACAGAGGGAUUCUGAAGAUUUUAUUUCUUCAGAUACGUACAUUUCUGCAUCACUAAAGACAAGACAGUGUGAUUUUGGAUCCCCUGAUUAUUUCAUCCAAGUUGAAUCUCUAAGUGACAUGCAUUCCUCUCUGGAGUUGUCUGCUGCUUGCCAUGCACUGAGUACCUGGAGUGCUGUUACAUUUUGUUUCCAGAAGUUACAACUUGCUGCAAGGGGAGAGCUCGGCUUGAGCCCAGGGUCAAUUCUGCAGCCACAGGUAAUGCUAAGAAAAGGCUGGUGGGAGAUUAGGCAGAAAUGCACAUUCAAUAAAGUCAAAAGGAUUUUGUCUCCCUAAAGGUUUGGAAGCAAUGAGUUUGUAGAUAACUCAAUGCCUGUUUGCCCUAUGGACAUCACUCUUUAACUUUCACUGAGGCAGAGCAUGCUGUUAUCCUGUAGACACCCAGUGAAGCAGACAGGAAAGAUUUUUCAGUUUUUUCUGGCCGGAUCUGUAGUGCUUUUUUUUUAGGACAGAUCUUCUAUGAAAAUGAUACCAAGUUCAAGGUUAUUUUUAAUGGUGGCUUUACAGUUUGCCAGCUACUAAUGGUAUUUCCUUAGAUGCCUCCAAAACCAUCCCAAACCAUUAUUUUCAGCCACUCCUUUAAUUGUCUGUCUAAAAGAUCAUGGUUUUGAAGACAAAAUCCCACAGCUUUACAUCUUCUUGAUCUUUCUUUAACUCCACUUGACAUUUGGAUUUUUCUUUCUCAACCUUAUGCAACUGAAUUACCUGCAAUUUCUUUUAAAAUCAAUACCUUUGAUAACUUUCUAUAUGGCUUAAAACUCAGAAAUAAAUCGAUUACAUAGCAUUAUAAAGCCAAAUUAAAGCUGAAGAUUAAAAUAAAAGUUAGAAUAAUUAAUAAUAGAAUAAUUCCUAAAAUAUAUUGCCUUGCCUUGCCUUCUUCCCCUAUUUCUCCCCCUCCAGACAAGGCAUACCAAACUAGUUAUCUUAACAGAAUGAUAUUUAACACAGAGCAUUACUGUCAAUGAUUUAUGUAUAGCAGAGUUUCCUGAAGAGCAAGAUAUCAGACCAGUAACUAAGUCUCAGAGAUUUUUCAGAACAUCAACUUCAAAGUUGAUUUGCAAAUUGCAUUUUGGUUUAGAAAUGUUGAACACACUUUCUCAAAAUCCACACUUAUCAUUACCAAGACAUUCUUAGUUAAACAUCUUUUGAAAAGAUAUUUCUUGCCCCAAAACUCUGAUACUCUGUUACCAUCUGGAACAGAUUUCGUGUUCACUUCUCUGUCUGAAUAUCCUCCUCACUGCAGGAAGGACAGAAUAAAAGACCUGGAAA